GCAGGCCUAACACAUGCAAGUCGAGCGCACCCUUCGGGGUGAGCGGCGGACGGGUUAGUAACGCGUGGGAAUCUGCCCAGUUGUGGGGGAUAGCCCGGAGAAAUCCGGAUUAAUACCGCAUACGCCCUACGGGGGAAAACAGGGGAUCUUCGGACCUUGUGCAAUUGGAUGAGCCUGCGUUAGAUUAGCUGGUUGGUGAGGUAAGAGCUCACCAAGGCGACGAUCUAUAGCUGGUCUGAGAGGAUGAUC
rnacentral:rRNA from 1 species